GGGCAGCGACAGCGAGGGCGGCAGCCGCGCGCCGUUCAGCGGCGCGUGGGCGCCGAUGCCCCGCGCCAGCACGGCGCCGGCCACCGCCCUC
rnacentral:tRNA from 1 species